AGGGCGCGCGGUGGAUGUCUUGGCGUCCAGAGGCGAAGAAAGACGUGGGAACCUGCGAUAAGCCCAGGGGAGUCGGUAACCGGACUGUGAUCCUGGGAUCUCUGAAUGGGGCAACCCACCCGCAAGGGUAUCUUAUGUUGAAUGCAUAGACAUAAGAAGCGAACGUGGAGAACUGAAACAUCUUAGUAUCCACAGGAAAGGAAAGCAACAGCGACUCCGUCAGUAGCGGCGAGCGAACGCGGAUAAAUCAGCGAGCCGAGGAAGGCGUUGGAAUACGCCGCCUCAGAAGGUGAAAGCCCUGUACCGGCAAACUGAUGAGCCUUCAAGUAGACUCAGUCUCGUGAAACCUGGGUCGAAGACGGGGGGACCACCCUCCAAGGCUAAGUACUCCUGGACGACCGAUAGCGAAUCAGUAAGGCGACUGAAAGAUGACAAGCACCCCGACGAGGGGAGUGAAAGAGUACCUGAAACCGCGCGCUUACAAGCGGUCGGAGCUCGCAAGAGUGACGGCGUGCUUUUUGCAUAAUGAGCCGGCGAGUUAGUCUGUACGGCGAGCCUAAGGCCUAGCGGGCCGGAGGCGGAGCGAAAGCGAGUCUGAAUAGGGCGUUGAGUCGUACGGGCUAGACGCGAAACCUUGUGAUCAACCCUCGAGCAGGCUGAAGUGCGGGUAAAACCGCAUGGAGGGCCGAACGGGUGACCGUUGAAAAGGUCUCCGAUGACUUGAGGGGAGGAUUAAAAGUAUAAUCAAACUGGGAGAUAGCUCGUUCUCUCCGAAAUAACUUUAGGGUUAGCCUCGGGUGGCAAGCGAUGGGGGUAGAGCUACUGGAUGAGGCGUCGGGCCUAACCGGCUACGACCCUCAACCAAACUCCGAAUACCAUUGCCCAAGACCCGGGAGAUAGACGGUGAGUGACAAUAUCCAUCGUCAAAAGGAGAACAAUCCAGACCACCAGCUAAGGUCCCGAAUCUACGCUUAGUUCGAAAGGAAGUCAGAUUGCAGUGACAGCCGGGAUGUUGGCUUAGAAGCAGCCACCAUUUAAAGAGUGCGUAACAGCUCACCGGUCGAGGAGUCUGGCGCCGAUAAUGAUCGGGAAUAAGCGUGGAGCCGAAGCUGUGGGCCCAGCAGCAAUGCUGGGCGGUAGGAGAGCGUAGUUGAUGCUGUGAAGCGGCUCGGGAACGGGUCGUGGAGCGUCCACUAGUGCAUAUGCCGGCUUAAGUAACGAUUAACACGGUGAAAAUCCGUGUCGCCGAAUGCCUAAGGUUUCCUGGGGAAGGUAAAUCCGCCCAGGGUUAGCCGGGUCCUAAGGUGAGGCCGAAAGGCGUAGCCGAUGGAAAUCAGGUCAAUAUUCCUGAGCCAAUGCCCAAUAUGGUGACGGAUCUCCAAGAUCUGCGGGACUGCUAGAUGUCCAGGCCCUCGAGGCCGAUGCAGGUGGAGGAGGUCACGAGAAAAACCGGGCGUGCCCGUACUAAAACUGACACAGGUAGGCGAGGCGAAUAGCCUCAGGCGCUCGAGAGAACGGUCGUGAAGGAACUAGGCAAUUUAACCCCGUACGUUCGCAAGAAGGGGGCCCUCGUCGUCAGACAGGGCGCAGAGAAAAGGGUCUGGGAACUGUUUAUCAAAAACACAGCUCUGUGCUAACUCGGAAGAGGAUGUAUACAGAGUGACGCUUGCUCAAUGCCGGAAUGUCACGGAAGCGGGUCAUCGCAAGAGAAGCCCGCGACUCAAGCACCGGUGAAUAGCGGCCGUAACUAUGACGGUCCUAAGGUAGCGAAGUUCCUUGUCGGGUAAGUUCCGACGCGCAUGAAUAGCGUAAUCACUGGACUCCUGUCUCCACGACCGACUCGGUGAAAUAGUAGUGGCGGUGAAGAUGCCGUCUACCCGCAGCAAGACGGAAAGACCCCGUGGACCUUCACUAUAGGCAUGCGCUGGUCACGAGCACGAACUGCGUAGCAUAGGUGGGAGGCUUUGAAGUUCCCGUUUCGGCGGGAAUGGAGCCAACAAGUGAAAUACCACCCUGUUUAUGUUUGUGGCCUAACUUCGAUUCCCGUGAAUCCGGGCGAAGAACACCGUGUGUUGGGUAGUUUGACUGGGGCGGUCUCCUCCCAAAGAGUAACGGAGGAGUGCAAAGGUCGGCUCAGCACGGAUGGAAACCGUGCCCUGCGUGCAAGAGCACAAGCCGGCUUUACUGCGAGACCGACGGGUCGAGCAGUUACGAAAGUAGGCUCUAGUGAUCCUGCGAUCCCGUGUGGAAGGGUCGUAGCUCAUCGGAUAAAAGGUACCCCGGGGAUAACAGGCUGAUCGCUCCCGAGCGUCCAUAGCGGCGGAGCGGUUUGGCACCUCGAUGUCGGCCCAUCACAUCCUGGGACUGAAGGCGGCCCCAAGGGUUCGGCUGUUCGCCGAUUAAAGUGGUACGCGAGCUGGGUUCAGACCGGCGUGAGCCAGGUCGGUCCCUAUCUGUUGUG
rnacentral:rRNA from 1 species